AACGAACGCUGGCGGCAUGCCUAACACAUUCAAGUCGAACGAGAUCUUCGGGUCUAGUGGCGCACGGGUGCGUAACGCGCGGGAAUCUGCCCUUUGGUUCGGAAUAACAGUUGGAAACGACUGCUAAUACCGGAUGAUGACGAAAGUCCAAAGAUUUAUCGCCAGAGGAUGAGCCCGCGUGGCCUUAGCUAGUUGGUGUGGUAAAGGCGCACCAAGGCGACAAUCCUUAGCUGGUCUGAGAGGAUGAUCAGCCACACUGGGACUGAGACACGGCCCAGACUUCUACCGGGGGCAGCAGUGGUGAAUAUUGGGAAAGGGGCGAAAACCCGUUCCAGCCGUGCCGCUCGAGGGAUGAAGGCCUUAGGGUUGUAACGCACUUUUACCCGGGAUGAUGAAGACAGUACCGAGGGCAUCAGCUCUGAUCAUCGGCGUGGAUGCCGCCGUGGUAA
rnacentral:rRNA from 1 species